AUCAGGUCCCUCCGGCUGGCAGGUGCCUGCACACCCCGUGAAGGGAGAGCGUGACAUGGCCCUGAUUGUGCUGGCAGCCCUGGCGGGACUGGCAGCCUUUGGUCAUGCCCAAAAGGACUCUGUGCUCCAGUUCCCUGCAGAAAUGACCAUCCAGACGGGACACAGCACAGCUCUGCGCUGCAAUUUCUCCACCAGUUUUACCAAUCCCUACAUCUUCUGGUACCAGCAGCGCCAGACGCAGUCCCCUCAGAUGCUGCUGCAGGGAGUGUACAAAUGGAAACCGCAGGUGGAUUCAGGGAGGUUCUCGUCUUCACUGUCUGUGGAGACCUCCCAGGUGGUUCUGCAUGUGCGGGAUGCUGAGCUCCAGGACAGCGCUGCCUAUUUCUGUGCACUGAGCCCACAGUGGUGCCCACAGCACGCAGCAGCGCAUAGAAACAUGGGCGGUGCUGUGAGGGGCACAUCCCUCCCUGCCACUGCUUGCCUGGAGCUCUGAGCUCAGCCUACUCAGCAGCAGCACCUGGGGGCUGUGGUGAGGCUGGGCCUCUGCCUCCCCAGCCUGUACUGCUGUGAGGCACAGGCCUGUGUGACUUGUG